GGGCCGGACGCCGUGCUGGUUGCAGGCAGCGGACUCAUAAUCCGCCUCCGAAAGGACAUCGUGGGUUCGACUCCCACCCGGCCCACCA
rnacentral:tRNA from 1 species